rnacentral:ribozyme from 14 species
ACAUUGAAGGAAAAUGAGCGAAGAAAUGAAAAUGAGAAAGCUUCCAAAAACUCCCCUUGAUGUUUUUCUGUUUUUUUUUUUUUUUU